rnacentral:rRNA from 1 species
AGAUAGAACUUUGCAGAGAGAGUUAACAGGGCGUGAAACCGUUGAUUGGCAAACGAAUCGGAGCCACGAAGUCGUUUCGCUGUUAGUUGGGCGGAGUUCAGUUCGCGCCGAAAGACGCGGGCGUAUUCUCACGCUCAUCCAACUUUGUAAGCGUACACUGCAACCUGUUAGACGAUCAGCUGUGGGCUGAGUGACGUAGAGCGAGCAAUCGCGCUGCGGCACGCAUUGUCUGUUCGCUCGCGGUAGUAGUAGCGCAACUGACUUCGGUCUUUCUGUGUUGCUGGCCGCGUGGCGGGUGAACUACAGCUGAAUACUGACAGGCGAAAUGAAAACCGUUUAAAAACGUUAGAGAAAAUGCAGUUGGCCACAUGGAUGUCUACACGUUCGACUGUUAGGUCUAAGCUUGGCAUUUUUGAAUUCAGACCUGCUUGCUACCAGUGGGGCAACUCCUGGUGCUUGUAUGGCUUCUGUCUAAUCGGGUGUCGACUUGGCUUGGCAUCGUUCGGGCGUGAAUCGAUCGGAUGUUUAUGUGAGCUAAUUCGCAGUUUGAAUUGGCAGUGAGUAGGUCGGCUUUCCGAACGA